GCUCCGUUUUAGUGCCUGUCUCUUUAAGCCCCCCCUCCCAAAAAAGCCCAAUCUACUCUGUUUGGCUUGCGAGAAAAAUAUGUUGCACCUUUUCAAAGGUAGCGCUCAAGCUGUGGGCGAUAUGUUCUAAUUAGCCUCCAUGUGAUAUAGGAAGGGGAGACAGAUCUGAACGGCUUGUUCACUCACAAAAGACUGAC